rnacentral:tRNA from 4 species
GUCUCCGUAGCUCAGUUGGUAGAGCAGCUGACUCUUAAUCAGCGGGUCCACAGUUCGAGCCUGUGCGGGGACA